rnacentral:rRNA from 1 species
UACGAAGGGGGCUAGCGUUGUUCGGAAUUACUGGGCGUAAAGGGCGCGUAGGCGGGAAGGUAAGUCAGAUGUGAAAUCCCAAGGCUCAACCUUGGAACUGCAUUUGAAACUGCCUUUCUUGAGGGUAGAAGGAGAAAGUGGAAUUCCACAAGUAGCGGUGAAAUGCGUAGAUAUGUGGAAGAACACCAGUGGCGAAGGCGACUUUCUAUUUUACUCCUGACGCUGAGGCGCGAAAGCUAGGGGAGCAAACAGG